GCUUUGAGCGCUCUUACUCUGUAAAGUGGAAACCGAGAGAAAAGCCUACAAUUACAAUAUAAUCCUCGAAACAUAUUGUUGCUACAUGACGACGGGAUUUCUACGUUUUAUAAGAGAAUAGAAAAUGAACACCUGUUUUGAGAAAAUGUUUAUUUCUUCAACAUUAGUUUCUAAAUACGGUUUUAAAGCUUUGACAAUAAGAUGUAUGUUCACUGGUCAGAAGAUUGUCGUGAAUAAUGUCAGCUCUGAUCCUGUUGAGGGCGUCAAGAAUUUGAAGAUUGUGAAACAGGAAAUAAGGGAUACAGAUAUUCCUGAUGAUGCAGUUCUAGUUAAAGUUGAUAGCUGUGCAGUACACUGGGUUGACCUACUCAUGUUUGCUGGACAAUAUCAGCAAGCACCUCCUCUGCCCUACACUCCUGGAAUGGAAUAUAGUGGAACUGUUGCUUUUCUUCCCAAAGGUUUAGACUCUGUGCUGAGUAUUGGAGAUAAGGUUUACGUUGGGGAUAUAGUUAAUACUGGUCCAAGGAGUUAUGGAGAAUAUGCUGCUUGGGGUGGAAUGGCGUCAUAUUCAUUGGCUCCGUCAUUUUCAGUUAGGAAGUUACCUGCCGGCCUUGGUUUGGGUGAGGCUGCUGUUCUCAACGGUGCUUAUGAAACAGCUUACCAUGGUUUAGUUCACUGCGGUGGAUUAAAAAAAGGUGAACUAGCAUUGAUUCAUGGAGCUACUGGAGCAUCAGGGUUAGCUGCUGUACAAUUAGCAUCAGCACUUGGAGCGGAUAUAAUUAUAUCUGGUGGAAGCCAGGCUAAACUUGAUCUCGUGGAACAACAAUGCUAUGGCACCGGCAGAGUUGUUGGAAAGUUCAACUAUAACGAAGAAAUCAGAUUAGACAAAUAUAUCAAAUCCUUAGGAUUCAAGGGAGUAGAUUUAGUUUACGAUACGGUGGGUGGAACUCAGUUAGCUAGGGACUCACUUAAAUCAAUCAGGUUUGGAGGUCGGUAUUGUGUGAUAGGAUGGACAAGUACUCCACUAGCAGGAGGAGGUAGAGGAGCUGGAGCUGAUCAUGCUUCAGCAAACAUGAUUCCAACAAACCUUAUCAUGAUGAAAGGAGCACAGAUUAUUGGAUGUCCUGUUGCCAUCAAUACCCGUCUAGAUCCUAAUAUCAGGAUUCCCAGACUUCAGGCUAUAGAUGACUGGUUGGAGACUGGGAAAAUAAAACCCUUUAUCUCACACACCUUCCCCUUCAAUCAAUUCAGAGAAGCGCUGCUGGCGAAGUGGGAAAGAAAAAUCACUGGCAACUGUAUUGUGAGAUGCAGCGAGAAAUUGACAUAAACCGGGAAGGUUGUGGAUCAUUAUUUACCCCGAAUAGAGAAUAAUGUUGAACUAGAACAGGUUCAAGAUGAAGGAUGAGAUUAAGAACCCCGUAACGAAGGUUGACUCUGGAUCUUACAAGUCCUCCCUGAGUCAUAUCUCAUUAUUUAUUGACGAGUAUAAGAGAGAAAUCACUUACGGAUUCUAUACCAUUGGUUUAGCAGGAUUUAUAAGAAUAGGGAUGAGUUUGCGGGCUUUCCACGUAUUCAAGAAUAUCUCAGAAAUCCCCGACGAAUUUAUU
rnacentral:misc_RNA from 1 species